GUUUGAUCAUGGCUCAGAUUGAACGCUGGCGGCAGGCCUAAGACAUGCAAGUCGAGCGAGAAAGUACUUCGGUAUGAGUACAGCGGCGGACGGGUGAGUAACGCGUAGGAAUCUACCUAGUAGUGGGGGACAACUCGGGGAAACCCGAGCUAAUACCGCAUACGCCCUAAGGGGGAAAGCGGGGGAUCUUCGGACCUCGUGCUAUUGGAUGAGCCUGCGUAAGAUUAGCUAGUUGGUAGGGUAAAGGCCUACCAAGGCGACGAUCUUUAGCUGGUCUGAGAGGAUGAUCAGCCACACUGGGACUGAGACACGGCCCAGACUCCUACGGGAGGCAGCAG
rnacentral:rRNA from 1 species